UGAAGGAAAAAAGUAUCCAUUACUAUCAAACGUUUGUUUCGCUGACAUAGAUGGCGCCAACUCUGGUCUACGAACUUUCAAUUUUGGGCUAAAAUUACGCUCGUAAGUAGUGUUUUUUAGUUAUUAUUUGUUUAUUUCAUUUAUUUAUCUAAACUUUAUUGCAUUUCAUUGUCCAAUUAAUUGGGAACGUAAGGUAAUUUGGCUCUAGAGCCUUAAAUAUUGUUAGAAAUCCCCGAUUUUGAAAUUUGGUAGUUAGCAAUAUUGCAGCUACCGUGCAAUUGAACCAUAAAGGCAAAUUUUCUUGUUUAUAAUUAUUAUGGUGUUGAAAGUGAGUAAAUAUGUACUUAUGUAAGCUGUGUUAUUAAAACAUGUCUGUUUAUCUAACAAUUUAAAAUGUGCCAAACCUCCGACUAAAGUCCAAACCAAAGUCAGACUCUCGCUUCUUCUUCUUCCUGAUACAUGCACUUUUUUGUCAGCCUUCUUCCAUUCAUUCUUUCCACAUCUUCUGCCUUAACCAACUUGACUAUUACAACAACAUCCCUCUAUAUAUUACUCGGUUAUUUACUGAUAUUACGUUUUUUUUUAGUUUAUUAAUUAUUGUAUAUGCAUAAUAUAUUUGUAUUUAUAUUUAUGUAUUUUAUAAGUGUUGUAUGAACUUGAUCAGUUGUUUUCGAUUAUUCUAAUCAUUAUAAUAUUUCCUUCUCCUUGCACCAUUUUUACAUGUCUAAUCAUAGACAGAUGAUCGUAGACCAGAGUAGGCGCCAUCUAUGUCAGCGAAACAUACAUUUGAUUGUAAUUAAUACUUUUUCCUUCAUAAACAUAGUAAAUUGAUGCGUAUAUGUAUUAUAGUUAGAGAUUUAUAAGCCACCAAGCUAUGUAUAUCAUUUCACUACAUCUGGUUUUCGGUCUGAUCCCUCUACUACGGGUUUUUAAAGAUGUUCACCUAAAGUUUCAUGUUAAAAACUGGCACUUUGUGAUGUAGUGUAGGUAAUGAGUGGAUAUCCGGUUGCUAAAAAGUAAUAUUUGCCAGUUGCAGCAAGAAGGAGAGCGAUUUUAAGUAAAAUGUUGGAACUAGACUAUAUAUCCGAUCCAAUAUCGGAUGUAGGACCUAAUCCUAUAUGUUUUAGGCGCCGUUGGCGUUUGACUUUGUCAUCCUUCCUACAUUACAUCCUAUAUG